rnacentral:rRNA from 1 species
GACGAACGCUGGCGGCGUGCUUAACACAUGCAAGUCGUGCGGAAAGGCCCUUUCGGGGGUACUCGAGCGGCGAACGGGUGAGUAACACGUGAGUAAUCUGCCUCUGGCUUCGGGAUAGCCACCGGAAACGGUGAUUAAUACCGGAUACGACGCAUCACUGCAUGGUGUGUUCGUGGAAAGUUUUUUCGGCCAGGGAUGUGCUCGCGGCCUAUCAGCUUGUUGGUGGGGUAAUGGCCUACCAAGGCUUCGACGGGUAGCCGGCCUGAGAGGGUGAUCGGCCACACUGGGACUGAGACACGGCCCAGACUCCUACGGGAGGAAGCAGUGGGGAAUAUUGGACAAUGGGCGGAAGCCUGAUCCAGCAACGCCGCGUGAGGGAUGAAGGCCUUCGGGUUGUAAACCUCUUUCAGCACAGACGAAGCGCAAGUGACGGUAUGUGCAGAAGAAGGACCGGCCAACUACGUGCCAGCAGCCGCGGUAAUAC